UGAACUUCGAUUAGCCAUAUCUCGCCGGAGAUGGCCGAAAAAGUCUAAUAAUCCAGCUGCCUCUCCUUCGUCGAAACUCUCUUCUGUGGCCACCAUUGUUGAUACUGCUGCCUCCAUUAGAAAGCCUUCAAGUCACCGAUCAUUUUAAUACCGAAACCGCUGCCAUUGGUCAUGAGAAACGCCAUGAAUGACGUCGAAGAAGCUGCUGUCUUUUUAUUUUUCCAUCAUCUGUCGUCGUUAGAGCUGCCGCCGUCGUUGCCACUGUACUCGCCGGCGUCUGCUCUUCCACCAACCAUUGCCACCGCACCCCAGACCUCUUCUUCCCUCUUCUACCAUUGAUGGCAGCCCCGAGCUUCUUCCCCUUC
rnacentral:lncRNA from 1 species